rnacentral:rRNA from 1 species
UACGUAGGGUGCGAGCGUUAAUCGGAAUUACUGGGCGUAAAGCGUGCGCAGGCGACUAUGCAAGACAGGUGUGAAAUCCCCGGGCUCAACCUGGGAACUGCACUUGUGACUGCAUGGCUAGAGUGCGUCAGAGGGAGGUGGAAUUCCGCGUGUAGCAGUGAAAUGCGUAGAGAUGCGGAGGAACACCGAUGGCGAAGGCAGCCUCCUGGGAUGACACUGACGCUCAUGCACGAAAGCGUGGGGAGCAAACAGG